rnacentral:rRNA from 1 species
ACAGCAGUAGCCGCGGGAAAACAGAGGGUGCAAGCGUUAAUCGGAAUUACUGGGCGUAAAGCGCGCGUAGGUGGUUUGUUAAGUUGGAUGUGAAAUCCCCGGGCUCAACCUGGGAACUGCAUCCAAAACUGGCAAGAUAGAGUAUGGUAGAGGGUGGUGGAAUUUCCUGUGUAGCGGUGAAAUGCGUAGAUAUAGGAAGGAACACCAGUGGCGAAGGCGACCACCUGGACUGAUACUGACACUGAGGUGCGAAAGCGUGGGGAGCAAACAGGAUUAGAUACCCCAGUAGUCCCUGUCUCUUAUAU